rnacentral:rRNA from 1 species
GCAUAUCAAUAAGCGGAGGAAAAGAAACUAACAAGGAUUCCCCUAGUAACGGCGAGUGAAGCGGGAAGAGCUCAAAUUUAAAAUCUGGCUUGCUUGCAAGUCCGAGUUGUAGUCUGAAGAAGCGUUUUCCAUGAAAGCUGAGGCACAAGUCCUUUGGAACAGGGCAUCAUAGAGGGUGAGAAUCCCGUCCAUGGUCUCAUGCAUUUCAUUUUGUGAUACGUUUUCUAAGAGUCAGGUUGUUUGGGAAUGCAGCCUAAAAUGGGUGGUAAAUUUCAUCUAAAGCUAAAUAUUGGCGAGAGACCGAUAGCGAACAAGUACCGUGAGGGAAAGAUGAAAAGAACUUUGAAAAGAGAGUUAAAAAGUACGUGAAAUUGUUGAAAGGGAACCGUUUGAAGCCAGUCUUGCUUACUUGUGAUCAAUCUUAGCUUCGGCUUGGAUGCACUCUCAAGUUAUGCAGGUCAACGUCAGUUUGAGAGGUGGGAAAAAAGUUUGAGGAAUGUGGCCUUCGGGUGUUAUAGCCUCUUACUAAAUACCAUCUCCUGGACUGAGGCUCGCAGCAAAAAUGUGGGCUGGUUUGCUCCUGAGGUGAAUCAUUAUUAAGACAGCUUGCUGACUUAGUUUUGUGGAUCUUCACGGUAGGCUAGCUUCUAAUUUGCUUAGGUCGUUGACAUAAUGGCUUUAAAUGACCCGUCUUGAAACACGGACC